UACAGAGGUCCCAAGCGUUGUUCGGAUUCAUUGGGCGUAAAGGGUGCGUAGGCGGCGCGGUAAGUCGGGUGUGAAAUCUCGGAGCUUAACUCCGAAACUGCAUUCGAUACUGCCGUGCUUGAGGACUGGAGAGGAAGGUGGAAUUCCCGGCGUAGCGGUGAAAUGCGUAGAUAUCGGGAGGAACACCGGUGGCGAAGGCGGGUCUCUGGACAGUUCCUGACGCUGAGGCACGAAGGCCAGGGGAGCAAACGGG
rnacentral:rRNA from 1 species